rnacentral:lncRNA from 1 species
UAGCUCUCCUUAUGAAACAUGCAGCCACAUGGGAAUAGAAACUUUGCCAGCUCGGGUCACGGUCUGGGAGCAACAUCAGGAGAGCUUCUAUGCUCUCAGGACUCACAGUCUUCUGGAAGGUUGAGGAGAGGAUGGAUGGUUGAUUGGCUGUGCCUGUGAGAGAAGAUCAAGGAGGGAAUCUGAGAAAUGGAAACUAUAGGAAGAUAUCAAAUUAAAGUUAGGAGAAGAAAGUCAAAUGCUAUUGUG